rnacentral:tRNA from 1 species
CACCCUUAGCUCAGUUGGUAGAGCAACUGACUCUUAAUCAGUGGGUCUAGGGUUCGAAUCCCUAAGGGUGUA